rnacentral:rRNA from 1 species
CAGGCCUAACACAUGCAAGUCGAACGGUAACAGAAGAGCUCGCUCUUGCUGACGAGUGGCGGACGGGUGAGUAACGCGUAGGAAUCUGCCUAUCCGUGGGGGAUACCAGUUGGAAACGACUGUUAAUACCGCAUAAUAUCUAAGGAUUAAAGGUGGCAACUUGUUGCUGCCGCGGAUAGAUGAGCCUGCGUUAGAUUAGCUUGUUGGUGGGGUAAAGGCCUACCAAGGCUGCGAUCUAUAGCUGAUUUGAGAGGAUGAUCAGCCACAUUGGAACUGAGACACGGUCCAAACUCCUACGGGAGGCCGCAGUGGGGAAUAUUGGACAAUGGGCGCAAGCCUGAUCCAGCAAUACCAUGUGUGUGAAGAAGGCCUUAGGGUUGUAAAGCACUUUAGUCAGGGAGGAAGUUGUAUUGGUUAAUAGCUGAUAUAGUUGACGUUACCUGAAGAAUAAGCACCGGCUAACUCCGUGCCAGCAGCCGCGGUAAUACGGGGGGUGCGGGCGUUAAUCGGAAUUACUGGGCGUAAAGGGUUCGUAGGUGGUAUGAUAAGUCAGAUGUGAAAGCCCAGGGCUCAACCUUGGAACUGCAUUUGAUACUGUCAAACUAGAGUAUAGUAGAGGAGUGGGGAAUUUCUGGUGUAGCGGUGAAAUGCGUAGAGAUCAGAAGGAACACCGAUGGCGAAGGCAACACUCUGGACUAAUACUGACACUGAGGGACGAAAGCGUGGGGAUCAAACAGGAUUAGAUACCCU